UCGGGAUAGCUCAGCUGGUAGAGCAGAG
rnacentral:tRNA from 2 species